UUAUUCUCAUUUAAACAACAUAUAUACUAAAAUUGAAAGGUUACAGAGAUUAGCAUGGCCCAUUCAAGGAUAACACAUAUAUUUAUGAAGUGCUCCACAUUAAA
rfam:Nomascus leucogenys chromosome 15, whole genome shotgun sequence.